AAGUCGUAACAAGGUUUUCGUAGGUAAACCUACAGAAAGAUUAUUACCUUUCUAGCUAUUUAAUAGCUUGUCUAGAGGCUGCAGUUUCUGCAGUCUCUAACUACAUUUGUAUUUUUUGCGUACUAUAUGUUUCCUUAGCAGGCUUGCUUGCUAGUUAGAUAAACUAAAAACUCUUUGCAAAUUGCAAUUAGCGUCUAAAAUUAUAUAAUAAUUACAA
rnacentral:misc_RNA from 1 species